rnacentral:rRNA from 1 species
UACGGGGGGGGCAAGCGUUGUUCGGAAUUACUGGGCGUAAAGGGCGCGUAGGCGGUUCGCUAAGUUGAACGUGAAAACUCUGGGCUUAACCCAGAGCCUGCAUUCAAUACUGGCGAGCUAGAGUUCUGGAGGGGAUAGCGGAAUUCCUGGUGUAGCGGUGAAAUGCGUAGAUAUCAGGAGGAACACCGGUGGCGAAGGCGGCUAUCUGGACAGAGUCUGACGCUGAGGCGGCGAAGGCUAGGGGAGCGAACGGG